GUCGCCGGGCUAGGCGGAGGACAGGCAUUUCAAGCUUACAGAUUUGGAAUUUGGAUCGCCAAAAUCAAAGCCUCCAUCACAAUCAAAAAUGGAGGAAGAGAAAGCAGUUGCCUACUACGAUGAGCUCACCCGCAAAGGCGAAGGCGCCGCUAAGUUCAAGCAAGGCCUCGGCUUCUCUAGCAGCAAUGAUUCUGCUCCUUCUAAAGGCUCAGCUCUCCCUUCAUAUUCUUCUUUUCUUAGCAGUUUUGUCAAAUCCUCCAGCCCCUCUCAGACCUCAAAUUUCGAAAAGCAAGCGCAGCUCGAGUCCAUUCAAAACAAGCUCAAGAAGAAACCGAGGGAUGACUCAUCGUCUAGGGUUUCCGAAAUAAGCAGCAGAGAAUCGAGCCGUAGGCAUCGUUCCAGAAGUAGAGAGAGGGAUAGAGAUAGAGAUAGAGAAAGGGACAGGGACAGGGACAGAGAGAGGCAUCAUAGGAGGCGAAGUAGGAGCAGAAGCAGAGAGAGAUAUAGAGAAAGGGAUAGAGAUAGGAGAAGAAGGAGCAGAAGCAGGAGUAAGAGUCGGAGCGCGUCCCCACGGCGGGACAGGAGAUGGGAGAGAAGAAAUCGCAGUCGGAGCAUAUCACCUAGAGGACGGAGGAGGUCAGACAACAGCAGCAGUAAUGAUGUGGAGAGGGAGAGAGCAGGAAAUGAGAGGAACGGGAGCGUUGAUUAUUCACAGUUGAUUCAAGGCUAUGAAAAAAUGACACCAGCUGAAAGAGUCAAAGCCAGGAUGAAACUUCAGCUUGAUGAAACUGCUGAAAAAGAUACAGCAAAGGGCAUGGGCUCUGGUUGGGAGCGAUUUGAGUUCAACAAGGAUGCCCCACUUGAUGAUGAGGAAAUUGAAGCUGCAGAAGAUGAUGCAGGACUAGUCAAACACAUUGGCCAGAGUUUCAGAUUUUCUGCUGUGGAGGCAAGGAAGGAGGAGACAAUUAAAGCUGCUCAUGAUGAGGCCAUGUUUGGAGCGCCAGUGCUUCCAGGAUCCAUGAUUUCAGACAGCGAGCCAGAGGCAGAAAACAAUGAAAAAGAGAGCAACAAAACUGAAGUCACUAAAGGCCUUUUAAGCGAGAAGGUAGGUUGUUACAUGAGGAAGAGAGAAAGAGAGAAGUGAGUUUAAGCAAUUCUUUGUAUGGUUUCAGGUUCUUGCAAAGCAACAAGGUUCUUGGCGUGACCGUGCUCGUAAAGCAUAGUUAGAUCAUGAAGUUUGAUGGGGAGGUGACUCUGCUUGUAAUGGAUCAAGAAGCUAAUGGGUGAUGAGGCCUGGGUGUAAGAAAGGGAAUUGCCAAUUGUUGCUGCUCUUGCUCUAGUGUUGCAUUUGAUAGGUGAAAGUCUGUUUCCCAGAAUUUAAUGGGACCAACAAUUUCUGCACCCUGUUUCAUAAUAUCCAUGAAAUUCUGCAAAGCGAGGAUUAGGAAAGUAUAGUGAAGUUUUUUGUAAUUUUGAUAAUGAAUGCUAAUAUGGGGUUUUACAACUUGGAGCACAGAACACAAGUUUUUAAUGUAUAUGUGUGGAAAAGAGAGGCAACAGCUCCAAUCAUUUUGCGAUGAUUCUUAUGCUGGCUCGUGUUUCUUCAAAACUCAUCCUUGUGAUGUUUAUUUUGCACCUGCCGAGUGAACUAAUUAUUAAGGAGAGCUUCUUCUGAAGAAGAAAAGAGGUGAACUUGCUCUUGCACAAGGAGAAUGAAAACUUUGAUUGUUGCUGCCUGAUUCCAUUUCUGGUAAUGGUAGAUUUUUGGAUGUAGGAUUGAGCAAGCUAUUUGCUACAUUGAAAAUUGAUACAAUACUGCAAUGUACAUGUUACCUAUCAAAUCUAAUAAUGGAUGUGGAUUUGUGAUUGGGGUUAUGGGUUGAUGCUUCAUGUAUAUUCG
rnacentral:misc_RNA from 1 species